UACGGAGGAGGCAAGCGUUAUCCGGAAUUAUUGGGCGUAAAGCGUCCGCAGGCGGUCCUUUAAGUCUGAUGUGAAAGCCCACGGCUCAACCGUGGAGGGUCAUUGGAAACUGGGGGACUUGAGUACAGAAGAGAAGAGUGGAAUUCCACGUGUAGCGGUGAAAUGCGUAGAGAUGUGGAGGAACACCAGUGGCGAAGGCGACUCUUUGGUCUGUAACUGACGCUGAGGCGCGAAAGCGUGGGGAGCAAACAGG
rnacentral:rRNA from 1 species